rnacentral:rRNA from 1 species
AUUGAACGCUGGCGGCAGGCCUAACACAUGCAAGUCGAACGAGUGGCGGACGGGUGAGUAAUGUCUGGGAAACUGCCUGAUGGAGGGGGAUAACUACUGGAAACGGUAGCUAAUACCGCAUACCAUCAGAUGUGCCCAGAUGGGAUUAGCUAGUGGGUGGGGUAAAGGCUCACGAAGGCGACGCUCCCUAGCUGGUCUGAGAGGAGGACCAGCCAGACUGGAACUGAGACAAGGUCCAGACUCCGACGGGAGGCAGCAGGGGGGUAUAUUGCACAAUGGGCGCAAGCCUGAUGCAGCCAUGCCGCGUGGAUGAAGAAGGCCUUCGGGUUGUAAAGUACUUUUAGCGGUGAGGCGUUACCCGCAGAAGAAGCACCGGCUAACUCCGUGCCAGCAGCCGCGGUAAUAC